rnacentral:rRNA from 1 species
AACGAACGCUGGCGGCAGGCCUAACACAUGCAAGUCGAACGCCCCGCAAGGGGAGUGGCGCACGGGUGAGUAACGCGUGGGAAUAUGCCCUUCGGUUCGGAAUAACACAGGGAAACUUGUGCUAAUACCGGAUACGAUCUACGGAUGAAAGAUUUAUCGCCGAGGGAGUAGCCCGCGUAGGAUUAGCUAGUUGGUGAGGUAAUGGCUCACCAAGGCGACGAUCCUUAGCUGGUCUGAGAGGAUGAUCAGCCACACUGGGACUGAGACACGGCCCAGACUCCUAGGGUAGGCCGCAGUGGGGAAGAUUGGACAAUGGGCUAAGGGCUGAUCCAGGCAGGCCGCGUGAGUGAUGAAGGCCUUAGGGGUGUAAGGCACUUUCCUCCGGGAGGAUAAAGAGGGUACCGGAAGAAGAAGCCCCGGCUAACUUCGUGCCAGCAGCCGCCGUAA